rnacentral:rRNA from 1 species
GACGAACGCUGGCGGCGUGCUUAACACAUGCAAGUCGAACGGAAAGGCCCUGCUUUUGUGGGGUGCUCGAGUGGCGAACGGGUGAGUAACACGUGAGUAUCCUGCCCUUGACUUUGGGAUAACUUCAGGAAACUGGGGCUAAUACCGGCUAGGAGCUCCUGCUGCAUGGCGGGGGUUGGAAAGUUUCGGCGGUUGGGGAUGGACUCGCGGCUUAUCCGAUUGUUGGUCGGGUAGUUGCUUACCAAGGCUUUGAAGGGUAGCCGGCCUGAGAGGGUGACCGGCAAAAUGGGGACUGUGAUACGGCCCAGACUACUACGGGAGGCAGCAGUGGGGAAGAGUGCACGAUGGGGGGAAGCCUGAUGCAGCAACGCCGCGUGAGGGAUGGUGGCCUUCGGGUUGUAAACCGCUUUCGCCGGUAACGAAGCGUGAGUGACGGUAAUGGGUAAAGAAGCACCGGCUAACUACGUG